GAUGAAGAACGUAGCGAAAUGCGAUAAGUAAUGUGAAUUGCAGAAUUCAGUGAAUCAUCGAAUCUUUGAACGCACCUUGCGCCCCUUGGUUAUUCAAAAGGGCAUGCCUGUUUGUGUAUCAUGAACACCUCAACUCUUGUGGUUUCCCACAAUGAGCUUGGACUGUGGAGGUUUUGUUGGCCCUGUGGUCAGCUCCUCUCAAAUGGAUCAGCUUACCGGUGUUUGGUGGCAUUACGGGUGUGAUAACUAUCUACGCUCGUGGUCGUCUCCAAAUAACCUCCAGUGAUGGAGGUUCGCUGGAGCUUAUAAAUGUCUCUCCCCAGUGAAGACAGCCUUUGAACGUUCGAUCUCAAAUCAGGUAGGACUACCCGCUGAACUUAAGCAUAUCAAUAAGCGGAGGA
rnacentral:misc_RNA from 1 species